rnacentral:tRNA from 1 species
GGCCGAGCGCGCCCAGUCCAUCACGGGACCGAUCGCAGGGGACUCCAAGUCCCCAGCCGCAAGGCGUGCCGGUUCGAUUCCGGCCCGGGCA